rnacentral:rRNA from 1 species
UUGCUAAGUUUGAUGGCGACCGGCGCACGGGUGAGUAACACGUAUCCAACCUGCCGAUAACUCGGGGAUAGCCUUUCGAAAGAAAGAUUAAUACCCGAUGGCAUAAUAGAACCGCAUGGUUUGAUUAUUAAAGAAUUUCGGUUAUCGAUGGGGAUGCGUUCCAUUAGGCAGUUGGUGGGGUAACGGCCCACCAAACCUUCGAUGGAUAGGGGUUCUGAGAGGAAGGUCCCCCACAUUGGAACUGAGACACGGUCCAAACUCCUACGGGAGGCAGCAUG